GUGGAGCACUGUGUCCUCAAUCUGUCCUUGGACCGGAGCAUCACCGACUUGGUUCUACACCCGGACCUCCAAAUGAGGACAUGGGAAGGCUAAGAGCAGAGAGUUCUGGGCACCAAACCCAACCCCCAGAUGCCACUGGGGAUAAACUCCCCAACCCCCUCAGACACUGGUGGUGUGGCUUCUGUCUUAUUUCAGUCGGCUAACAGGACAGGACAAGAACCCUCCUGCGGUUACAGAUUUUGGCAACUCUGCCAGGACUUGCAGACUCUGGAACCUGAGCAGUCGAAGGUUCGCUGAGUCCCCACGUCAGCUCAAAAACAGAAACUGGAAACUGGAUGGGAAAGAUCUCUGAAUUAAGAGAGGCAGAUGGUCGUAGACAAGGCCUGAGAAGAAACCCAGAGGUGACAUGACGCUCAGCCAACUGGAGAUGCAGUUGAUGACAUCUUCCCCCUCCAAGACCCUCACUGGGAACACAGUCACACCGGCAGAGUACGGAAGGUCUACCUGAAGGUGAUGCUGUGAUGGGGAUAUCACCCCAUCUCCCCUGACCAGGUUGCAGCUAGAGCCCAGUUCUGUGCCAGCGCCCCUAGCCAGCAGGAAGAAGCUAUAGAAGAUGAGGCCUUUCACCCUAACCCCUUUUAAGAUUAAAAGGAACCUGUCAGAGGGGGAUUGAAGCCUCCACCGAGACUUCCCCCUGCUCCGCCGAAGCUUCUAACUGUGGUUUGGCCUGACCACGCUGCGACCGUAACCACAGUUUGAAUUUGGUGCCAGAAUCCCACUCAUGCGCAAGCCAGAAUUUUGUGCGUGCCAGGACCUGGAGAGCUGUGUCCUCAAUCUGUCCUCGGACCAGAACUUCACCGACAUGAUUCAACAUCCAGACCUCCAAAUGUGGACAUGGGAGGGCUAAGGGUGGAGAGUUCUGGGCACCAAACCCAACCGCCAGACACCAUUGGAACUAAAAAGCUCCCCAACCGCCUCAGACAGGGAGCACGUGGUCUUUGGGCCGCUAGGCCCCACGUUGCUCUUUGUUCGCCCAAACAAUAAAUUUCCACUUUGUUUC